rnacentral:rRNA from 1 species
GUGGGGAAUAUUGCACAAUGGGCGAAAGCCUGAUGCAGCAACGCCGCGUGAGUGAUGAAGGCCUUCGGGUUGUAAAGCUCUGUCUUCUGGGACGAUAAUGGCGGUACCUGCAGAAUAAGCACCGGCUAACUACGUGCCAGCAGCCGCGGUAAUACGUAGGGUGCAAGCGUUAAUCGGAAUUACUGGGCGUAAAGCGUGCGCAGGCGGUUCGGAAAGAAAGGUGUGAAAUCCCAGGGCUUAACCUUGGAACUGCACUUUUAACUACCGGUCUAGAGUACGUCAGAGGGGGGUAGAAUUCCACGUGUAGCAGUGAAAUGCGUAGAGAUGUGGAGGAAUACCGAUGGCGAAGGCAGCCCCCUGGGAUGAUACUGACGCUCAUGCACGAAAGCGUGGGGAGCAAACA